AACGAACGCUGGCGGCAUGCCUAACACAUGCAAGUCGAACGAGACCUUCGGGUCUAGUGGCGCACGGGUGCGUAACGCGUGGGAACCUGCCUUGAGGUUCGGAAUAACUCCCCGAAAGGGGUGCUAAUACCGGAUAAUGUCUUCGGACCAAAGAUUUAUCGCCUUUAGAUGGGCCCGCGUUGGAUUAGCUUGUUGGUGGGGUAACGGCCUACCAAGGCGACGAUCCAUAGCUGGUCUGAGAGGAUGAUCAGCCACACUGGGACUGAGACACGGCCCAGACUCCUGCGGGAGGCAGCAGUGGGGAAUAUUGGACAAUGGGCGAAAGCCUGAUCCAGCAAUGCCGCGUGAGUGAUGAAGGCCUUAGGGUUGUAAAGCUCUUUUACCCGGGAUGAUAAUGACAGUACCGGGAGAAUAAGCCCCGGCUAACUCCGUGCCAGCCGCCGCCGUAAAAC
rnacentral:rRNA from 1 species